GAGUUUGAUCCUGGCUCAGGACGAACGCUGGCGGCAGGCUUAACACAUGCAAGUCGAACGACCCUUCGGGAUAGUGGCAGACGGGUGAGUAACGCGUGGGAAUCUACCUUUUGGUACGGAAUAGCUCCGGGAAACUGGAAUUAAUACCGUAUGUGUCCUUCGGAAGAAAGAUUUAUCGCCAAGAGAUGAGCCCGCGUUUGAUUAGGUAGUUGGUGGGGUAAUGGCCUACCAAGCCGACGAUCAAUAGCUGGUCUGAGAGGAUGAUCAGCCACAUUGGGACUGAGACACGGCCCAAACUCCUACGGGAGGCAGCAGUGGGGAAUAUUGGACAAUGGGCGCAAGCCUGAUCCAGCCAUGCCGCGUGAGUGAUGAAGGCCCUAGGGUUGUAAAGCUCUUUCGCCGGUGAAGAUAAUGACUGUAGCCGGUAAAGAAGCCCGGGCUAACUUCGUGCCAGCAGCCGCGGUAAUACGAAGGGGGCUAGCGUUGUUCGGAAUUACUGGGCGUAAAGCGCACGUAGGCGGACAUUUAAGUCAGGGGUGAAAUCCCGGAGCUCAACUCCGGAACUGCCUUUGAUACUGGGUGUCUCGAGUAUGGAAGAGGUAAGUGGAAUUGCGAGUGUAGAGGUGAAAUUCGUAGAUAUUCGCAGGAACACCAGUGGCGAAGGCGGCUUACUGGUCCAUUACUGACG
rnacentral:rRNA from 1 species